CUCCAGCUGACGAGUCCCAAAUAGGACGAAACGCGCAUCCUGGAU
rnacentral:hammerhead_ribozyme from 1 species